ensembl:lncRNA
GCCUGAGCCACAUGAGGAGACAGGAAAGUUACUCUAACUAUGGGCUAGUAACUAGUUAGUCUAUUACUGACUGUUUAGUGAUGGUUUACAUCGAUUCAGCGGGGAUUAUCCCACCAAAAUAUCUCUAGUUAUCUCCAAACAACCACCACGUCGCUGCAUAAUAACAGACAGAGGUCUGACUAGUUAGCUAGCCACCGUUACUUACAAUAAGAAGCUCAUUUCCGUUAACUUUGCUUCGAGCGAAGCUUCCAGACAGCGUGAAGUCGAGGAUUCCCAACAGAAAUUCUUCACCCAAGUCUUGUUUAAGGAUCAAACCGAUGUAAACAACGUAGUCCCAAAGUUUCAAAACUUUAAUCUAAGCGAACAUGAAACCGCGCUGGAACAGGAAGUGUUUACAACCGCCGCAGAGAAAAAGGAAACAGCAAAGACGACAGAGUCCGAUGUUGUUGCCAAAAUCGCACAGUAUGAGCUGCUAGUGCGAGUGCAGUUAGAGCUGUUAGUGGCGAGUGCAGUUAGAGCUGCGAGUGCAGUUAGAGCUGUUCGUGCGAGUGCAGUUAGAGCUGCUAGUGCGAGUGCAGUUAGACCUGUGUGAGUGCAGUUAGAGCUGUUCGUGCGAGUGCAGUUAGAGCUG